GCGCCUGUAGCUCAGCGGUUAGAGCGCCAUCCUUAUAAGAUGGAAGUCGAUGGUUCGAAUCCAUCCAGGCGCA
rnacentral:tRNA from 1 species